AGUCGAUGAUGAGGAUUUGUGAUGUUUUUUAAUUGCUGAAUUAUUUCGUGAUUAUAAAAACACUACUGCCUUCCUUCUGAGGCU